UGCCGAAUCAACUAGCCCUGAAAAUGGAUGGCGCUGAGCGUGACGCUCAUACCCGGCCGUCGGCGGCAGUGUAGUACGCCCCGACGAGUAGGAGGGACGCCGUGGUGAGCAACGAAGCGACGGCCGAGAGGCCGCGCGGAGCCGCCACGGGCGCAGAUCUUGGUGGUAGUAGCAAAUACUCAAGUGAGAGCCUUGAGGGCCGAGUUGUGGAGAAGGGUUCCAUGUGAACAGCCGUUGCACAUGGGUCAGUCGAUCCUAAGGCCUAGGGAAACUCCGCUUCUGAGGCGGAGGCGCGAGCCUGCCCCGUGCGGGUCUGCGCCCCCUGGCCGAAAGGGAAUCGGGUCAAUAUUCCCGAACCUGAAGGCGGAGCCCGCCGCCAUCUAGGCGGUCAGAGCUGCAAAGCUAUGGAGCCCGGAGACGCUGGCCGGAGCCCCGGGAAGAGUUGUCUUUUCUUUGUAAGGGGCGGGUUUCCCUGAAACCGACUGGAUCGGAGAUAGGGACCGCGGCCCCGUAGAGCGCCGCGUCUGCAGCGGCGUCCGGUGUUGCACUGGCCGGCCCUUGAAAAUCCGGGGGACGAGUGUGGACUCUCGCCUCAGGUCGUACCCAUAACCGCAGCAGGUCUCCAAGGUGAACAGCCUCUGGUCAAUAGAACAAUGUAGGUAAGGGAAGUCGGCAAGCCGGAUCCGUAACUUCGGGAAAAGGAUUGGCUCUGAGGACUGGGUCGGUCGGGCCGGGGCUGGAAGCAGGCACGGACCCUCAGCGUGGCUGGGCGAGCCGGUCGAAGUUGGCCUCGCGGCCAAUCCGAGACUGGCGAACCCGGACUUGCAUUGGGUCCGGCUCGUGGACCGUCCUGGCUGCGCGGCGGCCUCGUGCCGUCGCCUCGGCCGGCG
rnacentral:rRNA from 2 species